AAAUUCUUUAAAUAAUGCUCUGUUAUUGUUGCGAAAUCUUAUAAUAAUGAGUUGUUAUUGGUGCAAUUGAAAUGUAAGCACUCUUUACUAUAUAUAUUAUAUACUAUAAAGAAGCUCCGCUCUCAUUUGCAUCAAAUUUUCCGGCGAGUUCUAAGAUUCCUCCCCACCCCACCAUCUUGAUCUUGGUUUCUACACCCCGCUUGAGAAUUUUCUUGCCACCUUUUUCUCUAUUAUAGGCCGCUAUAUGCUUCCAUUUUUAGUAAUCUGGUUUUCUUUUUAGUAUUCAGGUUUAGAGUUUUUAGGCGGUGCAAUUGUAUGAUCAUUUCCUCAAGAAGCUGAGAUUUGAGGGGUCUGCUUGCGUUAUAGGUCUGUUCUUUUACUUGAGUCUUGUGAUAUAUGUAGUCUCAGUUGGGAAACUUUUGAGUUUGGAGGAUUUUUUUAUUUUUCGAAAUAAUGUCAAAAAGAUUCAAUAUUGGGAUUUGAUAGAGAAAUGGAGUAAAGAGUUUUCACAGGUUUUUAAGGUGAAGUCUACAGAAUAAAGAUUUUGUUUAAUUUAUUUGAGUUUUCCAAGUUGGAAAAUUUGUGGGAUGGUAAUGAAACAAACUGCCUAUUUAGUUUCAUCGAGGAAUACAGUAUGGGGAUUGACAUUCGAUGAUAAUUAUGAAUUGGGUUCUGUGAGAAAAUUAAGGAAUUUUUCUGGGAUUUGUGGAGGCAUUAGCGAUGAACAGUUUGCAAUUGCAAAUAUUUGAUUGGUGAAAAAUUAGUUUAUGUGGUUCCAAAGGAAGAAAAUUCAAAAAAAGAAGAAGUUCAAUUCUGGUGAAGAUAUAGUCUAUGAGUUUUGCUAAAAUGAAGGUUCCUUCCAAUGGAUAUAUGGCCAAUACGGGAGAAGGUUUGUUAACUUUCAUCCUUUAAAAUUAUACUUCUUGUUCUUUGCUGUUUGAUUUCAGAUACCAUUUCUCAACUUUUUAUACCAUAGUGAAAAGCUUUUGUUCUCUGCCAAUUCAUAAUUUUGGGCAAGUUCAAGAGCUUGAGGUUUUAAUAUUCUCGAUACAGUGAACUUGCUAUUCAUUUAUUCGUUUUACAUAUUCAGGAAAGGGACGCUAAAGAUUGAAAAUGUGAAUUUAUUGUUGUGCGAUUCUUUGUUUGUUUAAUACAUUUUCUUGGUCUGUGUGUAGAAUUCUAACUUUUAUUCUGUGUGAUUUUUUGUAUUUAUAAGCUAUUACUCGAAUUAGUAAUAGGUGGCAUUGUUUGUAGAUUAACAGACUUUCUUUGAGAAAAGCAUAAAUUUGUUAUUGCUUUAUAUUCAGUUCUGUAUGUGAUUUUCUCCUGCAAUUCAAUGCUUUCAAUCUACUUUCUUUGAGAUCUUAAAGGCAGAAAUUUGUUAUUGCUUUAUAUUCGAUUCUGUAUUUGAUUUUCUCCUGCAACUCAAUGCUUUCUUAAUGAAUGGUCCUUUACCAUUGUUGUCAGUGAUGUGUACCGAACUCUUCGUCAUUCUUGAUUUUUUUUCCCCGCUUUUUUUUGCCCCAAGUUUACGUAUAUAUAGUAUUCUAGUCGUAAAAUUUAUCGGUUUUCAAUGUCAAUUGAAGAUCGUCAGUUCCGUAAUCAGUGUCAAAAUUUUCCCCUUUGAAUAGAUUAUCUAAACCUUCCCUUUUCUUAUGGAUGUUUCUAUUUUAGUUUAAGGCUUUCUUUUUUUCUUUUUGUGUUGUAUGGAGUGUUUUUGAAGCACUUCGUAAUACCAUUUGCUGAUGAUAAUGAUAUCUUAGAAAAAUGAUAAAUUGGAAACAAGAAUUCAAUAACCGGGGAUCUAGUGGGAAGUAGGAUCCAUGUGUUUUGUCUAAAUCAAUUGCAGCACUAAACUGUGAGCUUGCUGGCACUUUGUACCUUUUAAUGAUUCAUCAUAAGCCCACGAGCUGAUAUCUACUGUCCGAAUUUUAUUAUCCUCUUGCCUGGCAUCAAUCUUUACUGCUGGGGAAUUCUGAUUAUGUGACUACCUUUUCUGUUGCUAAGUUGCUUGUCCUCUGCGUAACUUCCAACUUCACCAUAAAAUCUUCUCUUGCAGUCCUAUUUUGCAGUUUAUGCUUAAUUCGAAAUUGAUUGAUAGAGAAAAUAACUUAGUGGACCAGCCUCGAUAUUGGAAAAUAUACAUUUAACAGUUGGAGAAUGUAUUUUUAAUAUCAAUAAAAAAUCCUUUUAUAGCAAAUCUUACAUGAUAGAAAUUCCUUUUGUAGCCAUUUGAAAUUGCAGGUUUCAUAAUCUUAUGUCAUUUUUGAAGUUUCAACUUUCGUGUAAUAAAGUUUCCAUUUUAAUUGGAACAGGAGGGGAAAAUGUGAUUAAUUCAGAGUUAUGGCAUGCUUGUGCCGGACCAUUGGUUUCUUUGCCUCCUGUUGGAAGUCUCGUGGUCUAUUUUCCUCAAGGUCAUAGUGAACAAGUAUGUCCUUUCUCUCCAUUUCAAGUUAUAACGCAACUUUUAAUAUUCAAUAUCUGAUAGAUAUACAUCUACUGUUGGUAGGUGGCAGCGUCAAUGCAUAAGGAGGCUGAGAGCAUCCCAAGUUAUCCAAACCUUCCUUCAAAGUUGAUUUGCAUGCUGCAUAAUGUCACCUUACAUGUACAACCGCCUCCAUAGUUGUACAGAAAACUUUAAACAUUAUAUGUUAAAUUUUUUUCCUUUUUUUUCUGUGUUGCCACUCAUUGUUGUCUGCGUUUUCCUUCCUUCUCCUUGGCCUUUUAUACCAGAAAAGUACUUGAUGAUGGUCAAUUUGUUCUAUCCACACUGUAAAUCAGUAUCAGUGACGAUGAAGUUGCGUGCAAUAUUGGUGCAACUAAAGCAUGUUUGGCCAAGUUUUAAAGAUUUACUUAUACGCAAAAAACUAGGUUCAAAAUAAAUGAAUUUUUUUUUUUUUUUUGGUCUGGUCAUAGUUGAAAAUAAGCAAGAGUUUCUCCCAAAAUAAGUAACCUUUUUACUUAAAGUAACAUUUGUAGAGCAUGUUUGGUGGUUCUUAAAAUGUACUUGUAGUUGUCUAUAAAGUAAGUUAAGCAUGUUUUGUUAGUGAAGAAACAUUAACUCUGAAAAUCCUAUUCGGUAAAAUAAGUAAUUGAAAAGUAAGUUUAGUUUACUUUCAUGCAAACAUGCAUAUUUGGAAUGAAAUUAGUUAAAUGAAUACUUAUAAAAAAAUUUAGCUAAGCCAAACAUGAUAAAGAGCAACUAUAUGUGUUUGGAUACUAGCCAAACCUCAACAUUUUAUAAUUAAUUUUCUUCUAUUUACUUAUUUAUUUUGAUCAGGCUGAUACUGAAACUGAUGAAGUCUAUGCUCAGAUGACUCUUCAACCUGUAAGCAAUGCAAGUCAGGUAUUAAAUUUGAGAAUUUAUUUACAUAACAAUACUUUAUAGGAAAAAAUGUGGUACAGCAUGAUAACUUAUCUGAAGAAGCAUUGAAUUUAUCAUCCUACAGUACGACCAGGAAGCUCUACUUUUAUCUGAGAUGGGACUUAAGCAAAGCAGGCAACCUUCUGAGUUCUUCUGCAAGACUCUUACAGCAAGUGAUACGAGUACGCACGGCGGUUUCUCCGUACCUCGUCGAGCAGCCGAGAAGAUCUUUCCUUCUCUGGUUUGUGUUAAGCAUUUGACAUUUCCGCAUAAAUUGAGAUGAUAAAAUUGUCAGCAUGUCUGGCUGUGCUUUUACUUUUCUUGGAAGUAUGCAGUAUAAACAUACUUCACUAAAAAGGAGCUUAAAAGCUGAUAUAAGUACAGCCAAACCUGCUCGAAUUCAGCUCAUUCUGCUACUUACCUGGAAAAUUUCUUGCAGGAUUUUUCGAUGCAGCCUCCUGCUCAGGAGCUAGUGGCUAAAGAUUUGCAUGACCAAUCAUGGACAUUCAGACAUAUAUAUAGGGGUAUUUGUUUCUAGAAUGUAUAUCCUUUGGUACUGUAUUUGUUUUAAAAUUCUCAAGGAUGUAUCAAGAAAAAGAUAUUAACUCUACUCUAUUAGAAUCCUCUCUUCCUGAAUAUUACUUCUAGAUAGACUACACAGAAAAUUGUAAAUACAUCUUGGAAAAAAUUAGAAUCAAACAUGCUCCUUUGAUUAUAUAUUCGUUCAAUGUUAAUUUGUCAUGAAAUUAUGAUUCUGAGAAAUGGUUUGCUAUGCCCUUUAUGUAAAUUAUUAUUUUUAUCAAUUAAGGACGCUAUAAGUCAAUUUGAUUUUACUUGCGAGUAUUCCAUAUGCAAAUAUACAUUACUUCAUAAAUAUUUCGAGUUCAUUUGAUGGUUACAGUUAGAUUUGUACCAUUUCUGCAUGUAAACCUCUAGAUUUGGUUACUUUUUCUUUUUGCUCACUUUACACAAGACUAGAUUCCUGGAAUAUCUCAUCGGGAUACACUCUCUUUGGAGCCACCUAAUAACGCUACUGAGAAAUAUUUCAUCUUAAUUAUUGGGAAUAAAACUUGAUUUUUGUUGUUGUAGUUCUGACCUGUUCUUGAUCAUCAAUCAUAGUUUGGAACAUAAAGUUAAAGACUACUUGUGCUUGAUUCCAGGUCAACCCAAAAGGCACCUGUUGACAACUGGAUGGAGUGUAUUUGUUAGCUCUAAAAGACUUACGGCAGGCGAUUCUGUCCUUUUCAUAAGGUACGGAAUAUUUGAAUUAAAAGCAUAGUUGGUUAAGCUUAACUGAACAUGUUUGGAAACAAAAAAGUGAGUUUCACUUGUUUUUAAGCUUAGCCAAACAUUCUCUCUGUUUGUGCUUAGCGUUAUCCUUGUCACUGAACUGCAAAAGUGUGAUAUAGAGACGAAAAGUCACAUCUUCUCUUGGGUAUAAGACAUGCUACCAGACAGCAGCCUGCUAUCUCCUCGUCUGUCAUAUCUAGUGACAGCAUGCACAUGGGAGUUCUUGCAGCUGCAGCUCAUGCGGCUGGGAACAACAGCCCAUUUAAGAUAUUCUACAACCCAAGGUAGUCGAACUAAUACCUUUUUCAACUGUUAAAGUACACUGGAUUAACUUUGUGAAAUUUUUUGAUUCCCUGAUGAAACCUAAACUUUUACAGGGCUAGCCCUUCUGAAUUUGUUAUUCCUCUUGCAAAGUAUAACAAAGGAAUGUAUACCCAAGUUUCAUUAGGUAUGCGUUUCAGGAUGAUGUUUGAGACUGAGGAAUCCGGAGUCCGCAGGUACAUGGGUACCAUUACUGGCAUUGGUGAUUUGGACCCAGUGCGAUGGAAAAAUUCACAGUGGCGUAACCUUCAGGUACUGGUUUUCUCUUUUCAUUUUGCUGAAAGUCUUCAACAUUUAUCUUUAGUGUGUAUGAUCAUGAACAUUUAGAACUUCGUGAUCGCUGUUCUACUCUCUUGGAAACUAAAUUUUUCCACUGCCCACCUAGGAUAUAACUCGACUGGUUGGUAAAUAUGUUGUCUAUAAUCAGUUUUUAGGCUAGCUUCUCUCAGUUUACCAUGCUAAAAGCUGCAUCUCAUUUUUGGUUUUGGCUUUUCUCCAAAUAUGUGCAUUGUAUCUUUCCAAUUUUUAUGUUUUCCUCUGCCGUAAUUGACCUUCAUUAAUUUCUAAUCAUGGUUUAGAUGUAUCCAAAAGAUUUAUCCUUGAUAUAUUCUACUACAAACGUCUUUUCCUCGAAACUUAUUCGAUUUCUAGAUCUCAUAAUCAAUUAUCAUUACUUUCGUUAGGUUGGAUGGGAUGAAUCUACUGCUGGGGAACGUCCUAGUCGAGUAUCAAUUUGGGAAAUCGAACCUAUUGUGACUCCCUUCUAUAUUUGUCCACCACCAUUUUUCAGACCUAAGUUUUCGAAACAACCAGGUUUCCCAGGUAAUCCAAGUUGACCACUUAUCUAUCUUUUAUUAUUCUGGGAUGUCAAACAGCUAUAAGUUACAAAUUUGUAUUAGUUUUAUUUGGUGUGUUUGUGGGAGACUGAAUGUGUCCAUAAGUUUUUGUUGAAAUUGCAAUAAUUUGUUGCAAAUGUUCAAAUUUUCCUCAAACUCGUGUUUUUACAGAUGAUGAUUCCGAUAUAGAGAAUAUUUUCAAGAGAGGCAUGCCCUUGAUUGGAGAGGACUAUGGUUUAAAAGAUACCUCAAGCUUCAUAUUCCCCGGGAUGAGUUUAGUUCAGUGGAUGAACAUGCAGCAGAAUCAACAGUUCACAGCUAAUCAGUCUGGACUUUUCCCGGACGGGCUCUCUUCAACUAACCUACACGGUAACCUUGGAACUGACGACUGCUCCAAGCUGUUGAAUUUCCAAUCCCCGGCCUUUGCUUCCCAAAAUCUCCAACUCAGCAAAAUCAAUCAACAAGUUGGACAACUUCAACAGCAGCCGUCUUCUGCGUGGCCCCAACAGCAGCCGCUGCAGCAAAUGUUAACGUCUUCUAUAAACCCUAUAAAUAAUGGUGUAGCUCCUGACCAGAAUCCAUAUCAAAAUUCACAGCAAACAGCAAUUAUCUCCCAACAACUUCAGCAACAACAGUUAAUAAGAGGCAAUACACAAAUGCAGCAAAAUGUUCCCUCAGCAAACAAAAGUACAGUACCCAUGAUAUCUUUACCUCAGGACACUCAGUUUCAGCAACAUAUUGAACAACCAUCUAGCCUUGUGCAGAGGCCCCAGCAACAGCAGACAGAAAUGCAACAAACUCGGCCACAAUUUCCGCAGCCAAUCUCAAUACAAAAGCCACAAGGGAAACAGACAUCACAACAGAGUAUUUCGGAACAUCAGCUGCAAAUGCAGAUUCUCCAGAAACAUCAGCAGCAACAGCAGCUGCAACAGGUGCCGUCCCCUGUAAGUUCUUUUUUGGAGCCUCCGUUUUCCCAACAACAACAGGCUCUUCAACAAAACCAGCAAGCUCAGCAUUUCAGCAGCACCGGCUUUUCAGCAUCAACACUUGUGCAAUCACCACAAUUUCCUGUCAACCAACUCUACAGCCAGCAAAAGUCUACGUUCACUGUCAAAUCACAUUCCGAACCAGCUGAUGCGGCUGGCCCAUCAUGUUCAAUCGCACCUUGUACAAACAAUAUGCAAGCUUCGCUGUCGAACUUUCUGAACAGAAAUCAAUUGGGAUCAGCUGCAUUACUUGAUAAUUCGGUUAUUCAUCCUGUUCCUAGUUUAGCUCCAGAGUCUCAUAGCAAGGCUGAUAUCCUAAUAAAAAGUGAUUUACCUAGUUAUAAAGGACCGAAGCAGCCUAAAUACCGAAAUACAGCUAAAGAUCACUUGGAUGCAGCUUCAAGCGCAACAUCGUAUUGCUUGGAUGCUAGUGGGCGGCAGAACUUUUCUCUUGCUGGCUUGGAUGGUGACAUUCAAUCACAUCCCCAGAGCAGUCUUCCUUUCACAAGCAGUAUUGAUGGAUUGACACCUGAUGCUUUGUUGUCAAGGGGUUGUGAUUCCGGGAAGGAUAUCCAAAACUUGCUCUCUAAUUACAGUGGUAAUCCAAGGGAUAAUGAAACAGAAUUUUGCUCUGCUGGAAUCAAUUCUCAAACAUUUGGGUUGCCAAAGAUGUCAUUUAACGCCAGUUGUUCAAAUGAUGCUGGGAUCAAUGAGGCUGGUGUUUUAAAUAGUGGGUUGUGGCCAAACCAGAUUCAGCGUAUGCGAACAUACACAAAGGUCUCUCUCUCUCUCUCUCUCUCAAACACACUGUUACACACACACGCACACUCUUCAAACUGGUCACCUGCCAAGUUCCCCCGCCACAAAAAUAGAAAAAUGAAAAAAAAUUACAGCAUAAUAGAAUCCAUCUACAUUCUCUUUGAGAACACUUACACGAAGGAACCGUAAUAUGAAAUAAAUUUUAUCUAAUUUCUUUCCCUCUUCGUUUGGAGACAGCCUGAUUACUAGAAAUUAUGCAGGUUCAAAAACGUGGCUCUGUGGGUAGAACUAUUGAUGUCACUCGUUACAAGGGGUACGAUGAACUUAGGCAUGAUCUAGCCCGUAUGUUUGGUAUCAAUGGACUACUUGAAGAUCCACAACGAUCUGAAUGGAAACUUGUCUACGUAGACCAUGAAAAUGACAUGUUACUUGUUGGCGAUGACGCUUGGGAGUAAGUGUUUAGCAACUGUCCUUGUUAUCUUAGUUUUUCGUUGAAAGAACACAAAAAUAACUUUGAAAAUUUUUCUCAGUGAGUUUGUGAGCUGCGUUCAGAGUAUAAAGAUACUGUCCUCUGCUGAGGUACAACAAAUGAGUUUAGAUGGAGAUUUAGCUCAGCCUCCUGCCCCAAACCAAGCACUCAGUGGAACAGACAGUGGUAAUGCUUGGAGAGGACAGUAUGAUGAUAAUUCUGCCAACUCUUUUAAUCGGUGAAAGCAUUGCAGAGAUUAACUUUUAUCAGCAGGAAAUGUUAGAAGGUAGAUGUAAAUUUCUUGUACCAUCGAAUGUUAAAAAGCUUGUCUGAAAUUUUUUGAAGUGCUUGUGCAUUCUUGUAGAAGAAUCAAGAAAACUAUAUAUACUUGACGAAACAAACAAUUUUUUAUUCAACUUUAAAAAAGGGAAAAUUCAGUCCAGUGCCAUCAUUUUCAUUCCUAAAUGGAUGCAACUCCAUAUUCUUUGCACUAAAUUACGCUAAACUGACAGUUCAAGAAAAUAUUCAUUUAGGACUGGAAUUCUUUUGUGAGAUAUCAGAAACUGGAAAAUAAGGACACAGACAAGCAGCUCUUUAAACGACUACAAAGAACAACAAAUGGUUCUCGAACUGAAAAAUCAUUACACUUUGAUUUCUUUCAUUACGCUGCAAAAAGUCGUCAUAUUGAUCCGGAUUACAACAAAUUUCUCAAGUUUCGCUUUUGCUGAACCAACUAAGAAAGGACAGCCAUGACCUCUGAAGCCCUUAGUGCUAUGUAGUUAGAACCGUCACUGCCCUUGAAAUCGUUUCCUGCAUAUUUGGAGUACAAAACUGUGUUCCCGGGGAUAACUGACAAUGGCUUCCUGUUACCUUCCUCAUCAAGGGGGCCAGGCCCGACUGCAAUCACCUGUAAUUGAAGAUGGAAA
rnacentral:lncRNA from 1 species